ensembl:rRNA 5S_rRNA 5S ribosomal RNA
CUAUACUGUCAUAUCACCCUGAGUGUGCCAAAUUGCAUCUGAUCUCAGAAGCUAAGCAGCAUCAGGCCUGGUUAGUACUUGGUUGGGAGAAAAUCUGAAUAGACCAAUAACAAGUAAUGA